AACCAACGCUGGCGGCGUGCCUAAUACAUGCAAGUCGAACGGGGAAAGCUUUCGGGUGAGUACUAGUGGCGCACGGGUGAGGAACGCGUGGAUAAUCUGCCUUAGAGUGGGGGAUAACUAGUCGAAAGAUUAGCUAAUACCGCAUAAGACCACGAGAGCUGCGGCUUUUGAGGUCAAAGGUUUUUCGCUCUAAGAUGAGUCCGCGUAAGAUUAGCUAGUUGGUGAGGUAACGGCUCACCAAGGCGACGAUCUUUAACUGGUCUGAGAGGAUGAUCAGUCACACUGGAACUGAGACACGGUCCAGACUCCUACGGGAGGCAGCAGUAGGGAAUAUUGCACAAUGGAGGAAACUCUGAUGCAGCGACGCCGCGUGAGUGAUGAAGGCCUUCGGAUCGUAAAGCUCUGUCGCAGGGGAAUAACACAAUGAAGGUACCCUGUAAGAAAGGAUCGGCUAACUUCGUG
rnacentral:rRNA from 1 species